rnacentral:rRNA from 1 species
CAGACGGGUGAGUAACACGUGGGAACGUGCCCUUCGGUUCGGAAUAACUCAGGGAAACUUGAGCUAAUACCGGAUACGCCCUUAUGGGGAAAGGUUUACUGCCGAAGGAUCGGCCCGCGUCUGAUUAGCUUGUUGGUGGGGUAACGGCCUACCAAGGCGACGAUCAGUAGCUGGUCUGAGAGGAUGAUCAGCCACACUGGGACUGAGACACGGCCCAGACUCCUACGGGAGGCAGCAGUGGGGAAUAUUGGACAAUGGGCGCAAGCCUGAUCCAGCCAUGCCGCGUGAGUGAUGAAGGCCUUAGGGUUGUAAAGCUCUUUUGUCCGGGACGAUAAUGACGGUACCGGAAGAAUAAGCCCCGGCUAACUUCGUGCCAGCAGCCGCGGUAAUACGAAGGGGGCUAGCGUUGCUCGGAAUCACUGGGCGUAAAGGGCGCGUAGGCGGCCGAUUAAGUCGGGAGUGAAAGCCUGUGGCUCAACCACAGAAUUGCCUUCGAUACUGGUUGGCUUGA